rfam:Triticum aestivum genome assembly, contig: Triticum_aestivum_CS42_TGACv1_scaffold_222949_3B
GUAGUACUUCCCCGUGAAAUACUUGUUUUCAAAAUGGAUAAAGUGGAUGUAUCUAGACGUAUUUUAGUUUUAGAUACAUCAUUUUUAUUCAUUUUGACGACAAGUAUUUUCCAACGAAGGAAGUAUUUG